rnacentral:lncRNA from 1 species
CCCUAACCACGUUCUCGCCCACGGCAUCCAGGGGCCCCGCGAACCCCCCCGGAAAGGGGUAGUUGGCAAGAUUCGGGGGCCGUAUCCGCAGCCUCACGCGGCCAGAAUGCACCCGGGAAAUGCCCAAUCUUUCUUGCCUGAGGGCCUACAUUGGGGGCAAUUUCUUGCAGCUCCCUAAAGCUGCAAGCCCUGGUGUAGCCCGGCUGUUGGGAGGCCCGCUGCCCCCCACUGGCCGGAGCAUGUGGAUGGCUGGGCUGCCUGAGCGCUGUAUGUGCGAGGGGCCACAGGCAUGAGACAUCCAGACUGCGGCAAGCCGGCAGCACUCGCCGUGCAUGCAGAGUUGCAAACAUCAAGGAGUGACAACGAAUGAGACCAGACGCGCCAGGGUUCGACUAGCAUGAAGGGAGGAGCUUAUACCGGUAUGCCCGAGCCCCAAUAACGAAGUAGGUCCCGUUGGUAAAGGAUCAUCGCAAUGACACACUCGCGGCGGCAUCCUUCACACACACACAGAACACACACAUCUGCGCAUUCUGCGCGCGGACACAGCCAGCGCUGGGUAUGCGGUAAUAUCCAGUACCCUCAUCGAUGACAGUAUGCGGUAGGCCGUGUGCCUGCGCAACACGUUUAAUCGCGAGCGGGCAUGGCCAGGGGUGCCUAAGAGCAUCGGCAGGGGAGGUUGACAUGCGACUCAAAAGUGUUUCCGACGCGUGCCGAGGAGGGCGUCGCUACGGCUUAUAGUGCAAGGCCGUCAUGCACACGUGCCCAGUAAUUUUUACGCGAGGUUGACGAGCGAUCCCCAACUGCUCGGAUGGAACCCUUCGGGGCAGGACAGCGCUCCCAAAGGUUGUUUUGGACGGGCAAUCCACCUUUGAUAUAGAUGAGGUUCUGAUCUUGACAGGCGUUCGGCAGCAAACGCCUGUGACAACACGAAGUUCAGGCUGUUUCGAUUUAGUGCUCGAGUACAGUCCUAGCAAUAAAGACAGUGCUGAUAGUUAC